ensembl:miRNA
GAGUUGUGCACUCCUGUGCCUACUGAACUGGAUUCAGUGUGUCUUUGCAAGAACUGGCUCAGUUCAGCAGGAACAAGAGU